GGCUGGUCUGAAGGUAGUGACUUGAUUGUUCACAGUCAGUUACAGAUGGAGCUCCUUGUUCUACUCCUUCCCCCCUUCUCAAUAGAGCACUUGACUAGUCUUAA
rnacentral:Y_RNA from 1 species